GUAAUGGCCUACCAAGGCGACGACGGGUAGCCGACCUGAGAGGGUGACCGGCCACACUGGGACUGAGACACGGCCCAGACUCCUACGGGAGGCAGCAGUGGGGAAUAUUGCACAAUGGGCGGAAGCCUGAUGCAGCGACGCCGCGUGAGGGAUGAAGGCCUUCGGGUUGUAAACCUCUUUCAGCAGGGACGAAGCGUGAGUGACGGUACCUGCAGAAGAAGCACCGGCUAACUACGUGCCAGCAGCCGCGGUAAUACGUAGGGUGCGAGCGUUGUCCGGAAUUACUGGGCGUAAAGAGUUCGUAGGCGGUUUGUCGCGUCGUUUGUGAAAACCCGGGGCUCAACUUCGGGCUUGCAGGCGAUACGGGCAGACUUGAGUGUUUCAGGGGAGACUGGAAUUCCUGGUGUAGCGGUGAAAUGCGCAGAUAUCAGGAGGAACACCGGUGGCGAAGGCGGGUCUCUGGGAAACAACUGACGCUGAGGAACGAAAGCGUGGGUAGCAAACAGGAUUAGAUACCCUGGUAGUCCACGCCGUAAACGGUGGGCGCUAGG
rnacentral:rRNA from 1 species